GUACUAAUUAUCUAUUUUUAUUAUACUAAAACGAUUUUCAUGGUUACUUACAUACAUACGUUUUGAUUUUUACGGAAAUCAAAUAUUGAAAGAGUUCUUUGAACAGGCGCACGAAUUGACUUUUACGUUCCAUAAUAUAUGUAAUUAAAUCGAAAACAAACGUUGUAAACGUCACUAAGAUAGAAAAAACGAAGAAUUAAGAAUUAAUAACCCGGUCGUGAUUGUCCAGUUUCAAACAAGUCACACACCCGAGACUAACCGUUUAUACAUGUCGAAUGCCGCCGUCGUUGAUCUCUCCGACUAACGCGGAAUAUAACGGAUUUAUGAACUCAUGUUCAUGGACCAACAUUGACUUUUGUUAGAGUCAAUGUCAAUGUCAUGACGCCUCAUGCCCUCCAAGUUCAUCACCCGCGAGUAAUGUCACAUGUUAUAUAUAUACGAUGUUCGCGUAUUAUUUUAACUCAACUAUACGUACAGUGGUAAACUGCUAUUGUAGCCGCUAAAUGUAUUAAAGUAAUAAAUUCCGUCAAUGACAAGAGGGUAUUUUAAUUUUAU